AUUUGCCUGCCUGCCUACCUACCUAACAAAGAUGGGAAGAAAACGGUUUGCAUCCUCUUUCUGAGGAAGAGAAGCUAAGCUCCACAUUAAGCAAUGCUGAGCCAGAAUACCAUCUAAGGUUAUUCGGGCAUCAUUUGUGGCAAGAGAAUGAUCAUAAAUAACCAUAGAGGUACAAAACGUUUUACCUUGCCAAGAGCAAGCUAGAAAGGUCUGAACUUUAAAUCAGAUUUGGUACAUGGAGAAACAAUAACCAAAAGUAUGUUGCUGAGACUUAUUGAUUAAGUGGGAAACAAAAUUACAUAUCUACUUAGUUGAUAAAUCAAAGUGCUUAGGGGUGGGACCAGGAGAAAGAAGUAUGGAGAUGUGCCAGGAAGACCUCAAGAUAGAUAAGAAGUCAUUUUUUGUGAGCUGCAGGACCCUGGUUUUAACUUCCACUUAGGGAUCCAAGUGAAGAGAUUUUUGUAUCUCUUGGUUUUUAAAUCUACCACCCUUCUUCUCAAAGUAAGGAUUAUUUCAUUUUUAAUGUAUCUGUUUCUAUUAUCCUAUUGUUUGGGUAUGUAACCAAAUCAGUGGUGUGCUGU
rnacentral:lncRNA from 1 species